AAGACUAUAUAUUCAGAGAUAAUUUCUAUAGUUUUUGAUUUGGAGAUGUGUUUAAAUUUUUUUUGUCUUCCUACCCACAAUGAUUAGCAUUGAUGCUCUUUUCUGAGCAAGAAUCAGGCACAGACAUAGGAUUUUGUUCAUAGAUCUUUACACUUGAUGAGUGUUCUGCUGUUUGCUUUUGGCAAUGUAGAGGAAAGGAGUAGGAUCAGAGUGGU